rnacentral:lncRNA from 1 species
CGAGAUGCUUGGAAUGCCAUAAGAUUCUGUUGUUACUUCUCGCAAUCACUAUGUCCACACCAAUAAAACAAUGUUCUUUGGUUUAAUAUUUAAACCAAUUCGAAUCCAUGGGAUUUGUUGCCAUGAAACUUGAAAACCCAUCAUUUCGUAAUCCUCAUUAGAUAAAGAAUGGCUUCCGAAGGCAUUUACUAACUAAUAGUCUAAUAGGGAUGUGCUCGUGGGUAUUGGUCUGAAAUACGGCCGCCUAGACGUUCACGGACCCUUUAACAACCUAUAACUUGACUUUCGAUCAACGAUGCAAAAUCUAUUUCUAUUAUGCACAAAAAUUCAGAAGGUAUACAAUUUACUUGUAACAAUUAACAUCAAAUUCUACCAUCUAAAAUGGCCUUUUCUUAUUCCAACAGUACAUAUUGACAAGAAGAUAUGAUUCCACACAGACAAUCCGAUACAAGAAGUCAGUAAAAUAUUUCAAGUUGUCUCCUAAUUAAGAAACUGCAGGGAGUAAGAGUUUUAUCCAUCUCAGAAUUUGGCCAUUAAAACAGCCU